rnacentral:rRNA from 1 species
UACGUAGGGUUCGAGCGAUAAUCGGAAUUACUGGGCGUAAAGCGUGCGCAGGUGGUUCGCUAAGACAGAUGUGAAAGCCCCGGGCUCAACCUGGGAACUGCGUUUGUGACUGGCGGGCUAGAGUGCGGAAGAGGGAGGUGGAAUUCCACGUGUAGCAGUGAAAUGCGUAGAGAUGUGGAGGAACACCGAUGGCGAAGGCAGCCUCCUGGUCUAGCUCUGACGAUCAUGCACGAAAGCGUGGGGAGCAAACAGG